AUGUCGGCGGUUCUCGGACGGAUGACGACGACGACGACGACGACGAUGAUGAUGAUGGUCUGGGUUUGGAUCAGUCUGCUGACUCUAGCCCGGUUCAACACGGCACAGGACCAGCACCGGGACGCCGAGCUCACGGCGCUGCUGGAGGAGACCGGGAGCGGCGGAAGACUUUCUCCGGUGCCGGUGUGGAAGUUCCUGAACGAGCGCCGUGACGGUGGUGAGGCGUCAGAUUUCGGCCGGGCGCAGUAUCUCUGCAGCGGCAGCUCGCUGUCUGUUCGCUUCUCGCUCAUUCGACACACUGAUCUGCGCCUGGCAGACGGGAGGAGGUUGUUGACAGAUGGAUGUCAAGGUUCUGUUCGUAACCUCGGGCCGUGGAUGCUGCUGACGCUGCCUUAUACCAGCUGCCACUUGGCAUUAUGGGUUUCAAAUGGAACCUGGUUUCGUCAGCUGAGACUUCGUUACUUUGACCAUCUGCUGCAGGCAAACGUAACUGGUCUGGCCACCUGUGAGAAUCCUGCAACAUCCCUGCAACUGAUGCCACCGUUGGUGACUUGCAGAACAACAGAUGUCACUGUGAAACUGCCUCUUGGAACGUCGGGCGCCCGUGGUGGUGGUCGCCGUGGGGGUCGUCGUCGGGGCAUCAGACGUGUCAGCCAGUGGUGGGGGCGCCCGUGGUGGUGGUCGUCGUCGUGGCGCCCGUGGUGCUGCUGGUGGUGGUCGUCGUCGCCGGGGCGCCCGUGGUGCUGCUGGUGGUCGUCGUCGGGGCGCAAGUGGUGGUGGUGGUGGUGGUGGUCGUCGUCGUCGCGCAAGUGGUGGUGGUGCUGGUACUGGUGGUAGUCGUCGGGGCACCAGGGGUGUCGAUUCCGGUAUACGGCCCUUCAGAAAUUUCAUCAAAUCCCCACAACUCAAAGAUUUCUGUGUCAGCAUCAGUCACUUCGUCAUUCCGGAACCCACUGGGCUCCGUCGGUUCCUGGAUGACGGGCUCCACUAGAACUUGCUCAAAGUCCCAAAGCUCCCACAGGUUGGGGUUUUGGAGAGCUCUUGGGUGUCGAUCCCGCCUAGUUUGUGUUGCUGCAGUGGAACAAGCUGCCAGCAUCGUGGAUGUUUU
rnacentral:lncRNA from 1 species